AAAAUUUUUCGAACAAUAUAAGCAAUGCUUCCGAUUUUUUCACCGCAAAUGUAACUGAAGCUUUAAAAUUGUUAAAAGUGCGAACCAUUUCAUUAAUUUUAACAUCUUCGACCAUCUUAUAUCCCAAACUUUUACCAAAUUUUUCCGAGUUUUACCUUCAAUUUUAAGCAAAUAUCAGUUCCAUUUUGACCAACUUUGGGCAAAUAUCAGUUCCAUUUUGACCAAC